rnacentral:lncRNA from 10 species
GCCCUCACCAAGCUUCCAGCAGGCAGGUGGAGGAGGGAGACAGACAAUUCCACAACGGAAUCUCACUCUGUCACCCAGGCUGGAGUGCAGUGGCACAAUCUCAGCUCACUGCAACCUCGACCUCCCAGGUACAAGCAAUUCUCCUGCCUCAGCCUCCCAAGUAGCUGGGAUUACAGAUGGAGUUUUGCUCUUGUCGCCCCGGCUGGAGUGCAGUGGUGCGACCUCAGCGAUCUCAGCGAUCUCAGCGAUCUCAGCUCACUACAACCUCUGCCUCUUGGAUUCAAGCAGUUCUCCUGCCUCAACCACCUGAGUAGCUGGGAUUACAGGCGCCUGCCACCACGCCUGGCUAAUUUUUGUAUUUUUAGUAGAGAUGGGGUUUCACCAGGUUGGUCAGUCUGGUCUCGAACUCCUGACCUCAGGUGAUCCACCCACCUCGGCCUCCCAAAGUGCUGGGAUUACAGGCGUGAGCCACCAUGCCCAGCCUACACUUGGGCUUCUUAGGCACAAGAUCCAGUAAGCCCUCCCUCCUCCUCCCCACCCCUUUUUUCUUUACACUAGUGUUUUCUGUAAUCCUGCAACAGAAAGAGUCCUAACUGAUAUAUUUGUGACCAUUUCUAAAAUCUCCAAAAUGUAAAAUUAUACAAUUAAGAAUUAAAAUAAUUUUUUAAAACCAAGUGA